rnacentral:rRNA from 1 species
CCUACGGGAGGCUGCAGUGGGGAAUAUUGGACAAUGGGGGCAACCCUGAUCCAGCGACGCCGCGUGGGUGAAGAAGGCCUGCGGGUUGUAAAGCCCUUUCGGUUGGGAAGAACAGUAUCGACCUAACACGUCGAUACCUUGACGUAACCAACAAAAGAAGCACCGGCUAACUCUGUGCCAGCAGCCGCGGUAAUACAGAGGGUGCAAGCGUUAAUCGGAAUUACUGGGCGUAAAGCGCGCGUAGGCGGCUUGACAAGUCGAGUGUGAAAUCCCCGGGCUUAACCUGGGACCUGCAUUCGAAACUGUCUUGCUAGAGUAUGGGAGAGGGAAGUGGAAUUUCAGGUGUAGCGGUGAAAUGCGUAGAUAUCUGAAGGAACAUCAGUGGCGAAAGCGACUUCCUGGACCAAUACUGACGCUCAGGUGCGAAAGCGUGGGGAGCA